CAAGGGUGGUCGGAAAGUCAGAAUGAAAGCUGAGAAGUUAUUUGAAUGAAGGGAAGAAAAAAAGUGAACCUACUUACUUCGAGAAAGGACCCCAGAGAGUUCCAAACUCAUUGUUCGGGAUCAAUGCGAUCAAUCCUCUGGAUGACUUCGGGCAAGAUGCACCCAUCGACCAGUCUCUUUAUCAGGUCCCUAUCAUUGAAAUGAUUCUCCCCUGGCUCCUCCUCAGAACC
rnacentral:lncRNA from 1 species